rnacentral:rRNA from 1 species
AGAAUCAACGCUGGCGGCGUGCCUAACACAUGCAAGUCGAACGAGAAAGUGGAGCAAUCCACGAGUAAAGUGGCGCACGGGUGAGUAACACGUGACUAACCUACCCUUGAGUGGGGGAUAACCUAGGGAACCUGGGCUAAUACCGCAUAAUACCUACGGGUCAAAGGAGCAAUUCGCUUAAGCGAGGGGGUCGCGGCCGAUUAGUUAGUUGGCGGGGUAAUGGCCCACCAAGACGAUGAUCGGUA